UAGCUCCAAUCCAACUGAAUAGGUCAUGUAUGGGAGUUUUUCCUCAGAGAAACAUGCUCUUUAUCCUUAAAAGUUCAGCUCCAUAGUCAAAGAAUUCGAGUCAGUGACACUAUCCUAUAUAAUAAAAGGCUAAGUGAGUGGCCAUGGCCUUGGAACGUUGGGGAUCUGCGUCCCUGCCUCCCUGGGCUGUUCUGGGCCUGCGCGAAGCGCAGGCCCAGAACAACCCAAGGGAGACAGGACCACCGACACCAGGCGGCCAUGCUGGCCAGUUCUAUUGCUGCCGCGUCUGUCUGCCCGGAGGAAAGGACACCGGGAAGGGAAAGACGGCGGGGGCGGGCAGCAAUCGGGACGGCAUUCUGGGCGGCACUCUGGGAGGCAGGGCCAAGGGGAAGACGGCGGUUGCGGGCGGCACUGAUGGCGGCGGAGCCAGCACUCACCAUCCGACCAGAAGCACAGAGGCAGCGACGGCACACCCUACCCGGCCGCAGGGAGGCAAUUCAGCAGGGAGGAAGGCGUGGGAGGCGGUCCUCUUGCCGCCGCCUCCUCAUCCCGUCCGGCGCCGGCGGCCGCAGCGGCGCCUCUGCCCAGCUUCUUCCUAUGCCUCCUUUUCCGGGUGGGGGGUUCCUCUAAAAAGGCUUUUCUGCUCCCAGCCUCCUCAAUUUGUUUGCCAGCAGCAUUCAAUGUCGAUUGAGUGAGAAAGCAACAAGGAUCAGAUUCUCUCAUGGUGCAUCAAUAUAAACCACCUGACAAUGAUGGCUUGUAACAAGGGCACUGGGUUUUGCAGCCACAUUAUUUGAACAAGUGGCAGCUCAGAGCGCUGUGUAAUUAAUCCAGGGCUGAAUAAUGAAUUGCAGUUCCCGUGCCUGUAAGGGGAGACUGACCCAGACCAGCAGAACCUGUCACACUACCAACAGUUCAAAACUUUUACUACUUUCUCACAGAAGACCGAGGUCUACUGAACAAAUGUCACAUGGACUAGCAUUUCAAUGUUUUAUUUGUAUGGCUGUGUAUUUAAUCACUUCCAUGCAGAAGUUUAACUAAUAGUUGUAAUAAACACAAAUUGAAAGUA